rnacentral:lncRNA from 13 species
AUGGCCAAGGCUGGAAGGAUGCUGCAAAUCCCAGUCCCUCCCACUACAAUCUCCAGCACAAAGGGCUUCCCUAACCCCUCCAGCGGGAAUAACUGGAUCACCUGGCUGCCUCCUGCCGCUCAGUCCCUCUGGAAGCGGGGCUGGGACGUCCCGGGUCCCCCUCUGGUCCUGCCGGAGCCAAAGGGAACGGGUUGGAAUAAACUAAACCGCAGCUGUCCCUUUUGGUUCUAUCCUUGUUUUUUGGUUGGGUUUCCUCUGUGUGUCCCUCUGGAUGAUCCAAAGCUCCUGUUUGCCGAUGGAUUUGACCUUUUAACUGUGACUGCUUUCAAUAAAUGGGAAAUGGAGUUUGCACGGCGUUGUUUCCAUGCCAUAAAUCCGUGGAUUUGCUCCUCCUCCCUCCGCUCUGCCGCGUUUCCUUUCUCCAGCUUCAUUCUCCCUGGCCUUCCAAGGUCCUGCCUCUUCUUGCCUGGGAAGGCAGCGUCCUUGGGGAUGGGAAAGGAGGGGGAAAAGCCAAGGAAAGGCAGUUUCAUGCAGACAUUCCUGGCUGUGCAUCCCUGGGACCUGCGGGGCUGUGCAGAGGCUGAACCGUGGAGGUGCUGCUGGAGGGGACCAGGACCAGCGGUGGCUGGAACAAGGAAAAGAUUCCCAACCAGAGCUCCCAGCUCGUCCCACACGAUCCCUGUGCCUGGAGCAGAAACCAACCCGGGUGGAAGCAGGGGGGAAGAGAACCCUGGGCCUGCUUUCCUUUGGCUGCACAAUCAUUUCCCUGCCAUAAACUCGGCACGGCGGGAGCCAAGGGAAGAUGAGGCCGUAAUUUAUCCCAGCUCCUCUCUGCCGGUGGAGGGACAAACCUCCAGGAGGAUCUGCAGGUCCUUUCCCUGA